AGGCCUAUGCCAGCUGAAACCAACUUUACUUCUGUACUUACUCUUUUCUUCUUCCUUCUGCUGUCAAAGAUCAAAGCUCUCUCUCUGAGUGUCUCUCUCUUCCCUCUCUCUAACUCCAUUCCUACAUCACUUGGUUUCCUGGGCAAGAGAGGUAAGUACUGAGACGCCCAUCUUUUGAUUUCCAACUGUUUACCCCUUUUUUUUCUUUUUUUUUUCUUGUAGUUUUAGGAAGAUGCUUGCUUUGUUUCUGCUCAGUUUGGUGCUAUGUAAAUCUGGAAUUCUAGUGGGUUCUUUGAAUGAUGAGGGUUUGGCUCUCUUGUCAUUCAAACAGUCCAUUAGAGAAGAUCCAGAAGGGUCAAUGAGUAACUGGAACUACUCUGAUGAAAACCCUUGUUCUUGGAAUGGUGUUACAUGCAAAGAACAAAGAGUUAUUUCUGUCAGCAUCCCAAAGAAGAAACUCUCCGGGUUUCUUUCUUCUUCCCUUGGAGAUCUCUCUCAGCUUAGACAUGUAAAUUUGAGGAACAAUAAUCUUUUUGGAAGCUUGCCUGUUGGGCUCUUUCAAGCUGAGGGGCUUCAGAGUUUGGUCCUCUUUGGGAAUUCCCUUUCUGGGCCUGUUCAUUCUGAGAUUGGGAAGCUCAAAUUUCUUCAGAACGUGGAUUUAUCAUAUAACUUCUUUAAUGGGUCAAUACCCACUUCGUUACUUCAGUGCAAGAGAUUGAGAACCCUUGAUCUGGGUCAGAACAAUUUCACCGGUUCCCUUCCUGAUGGAUUUGGGGCUAGUUUGGUUUCCCUAGAAAAAUUAGACCUUUCUUUCAAUAAAUUCAGUGGUCCAAUUCCUAGUGACGUGGGAAACUUGUCUAAUUUGCAAGGGACUGUUGAUUUGUCUCACAAUUUGUUUAGUGGUCCAAUCCCAGCUAGCCUAGGAAACCUUCCUGAGAAGGUCUAUAUUGAUCUCACAUACAACAAGCUCACCGGGCCGAUACCACAAACUGGUGCUCUUAUGAACAGAGGGCCAACAGCUUUUAUAGGAAAUCCCGGUCUCUGUGGCCCGCCCUUGAAAAAUCCGUGUUCAUCCGAUGCAGCAGGGGCUAAUUCUCCUUCGUCGUACCCUUUCUUGCCAAAUAACUACCCUCCACAGGGUACCAGCGAUAAUGCAAGAAAGAAUGGGAGCGGGAAAGGGCUUAGUAAAAGUGUGGUGAUUGCAAUUAUUGUUAGCGAUAUCAUUGGCAUUUUCCUAAUUGGGCUGAUAUUCUCGUAUUGCUAUUCAAGAUUUUUGCCUUGUAGCAAGAGGAAGGAUCAAAAUGGUUAUGAAUUCGGAAAAGGAUGGAAGCGAAGGAAAGAAUGUUUGUGCUUUACCAAGGAUGAAUCAGAGAUGUUGUCAGAUAAUGUAGAACAGUAUGAUCUUGUCACGUUGGAUUCACAUGUGAGUUUUGAUUUGGACGAGCUCCUGAAAGCUUCAGCCUUUGUGCUAGGAAAGAGUGGGAUCGGGAUUGUUUACAAGGUAGUGCUUGAAGAUGGGCUCCCAUUGGCUGUGAGAAGAUUGGGAGAAGGAGGAUCUCAGCGGUUUAAAGAAUUUCAGAUUGAAGUGGAGGCGAUUGGGAAGAUAAGGCAUCCCAAUAUUGUACCUCUUCGAGCCUACUAUUGGUCUGUCGAUGAGAAGCUGCUUAUCUAUGACUAUAUUCCGAAUGGUAACCUUUCAACUGCAAUUCACGGCAAGCCAGGAAUGACAUCAUUUGCGCCUCUUCCAUGGUCAGUUCGAGUGAAAAUAAUGAAAGGAAUUGCAAAAGGCUUGGCUUAUCUGCAUGAAUGCAGUCCUAAAAAAUAUGUCCAUGGGGACUUAAAGCCGAGCAAUGUCUUGCUUGGAUCCAAUUUGGAACCCAAAAUCUCUGAUUUUGGACUUGGACGCCUUGCUAAUAUAGCUGGAGGAUCCCCAACCCUACAAUCCAAUCGAAUUGCAUCCGAGAAGCUGCAUCAAAGGCAACAAAGCAAUGUUCCAUCAGAACUUGCAACAGUCAGCUCGGUUGCAAACUUUGGAUCCUACUACCAAGCCCCUGAGGCACUGAAAGUGGUAAAGCCAUCACAGAAAUGGGAUGCUUACUCGUAUGGGGUGAUCUUAUUAGAAAUGAUCACUGGAAGAAUGCCAGUGGUCCAAGUGGGUGCCUCAGAAAUGGAUAUCGUUAGCUGGAUUCAGCUCUGCAUCGAAGAAAAAAAGCCACUCGCUGAUGUUUUGGACCCGUACCUAGCAGAUGAUGCAGACAAGGAAGAGGAGAUGAUUGCUGUUCUAAAGAUUGCAAUGGCGUGCACGCAUAGUAGCCCCGAAAGAAGACCGACCAUGAGGCAUGUCUCGGAUGCUUUGGAGAGACUGACAGCGUCUAGCGAUUGAAACAAAACCCGGCUGCUAAAUCUCGUUCAUCUAUCAAGAUCAAGUGUAAAGUUGCGGCUGGAACCGAUGGAAGGCCAUAUCAAUGGUGGAAAUACAAGUGCAGGUGAGGCAGUGAACUGGGAGGUGUUAACAGUUUGUAUUUGCUUAGGAUUCCUGUAGUUUUGAGUGUAUUAAUAUUCCCCGGUGAAAAUAGCCUGCUUUGAAUUGACACCAUGCAUAGCCUUUAUAGCUUGGGAAAUGAAUUCAAUGGAUGGAGGACUAGCUGCUGGAUAAACUAUUGAACAUGUGAAGCAUUGAUGGGAGUUCUAGCAUUUGGUCCCACGUCAAAGGGUUGCAAUGCAGGGAACACAAAGCAUUGGAGGUUCAGUAUCCUUAGCCCUUAGGUAUUCUACAAGCUCUACUAAUAUCGGUAUCCUUUGAUACUCAAGAUGUUCUAUUGUUACAAAGACAACACGUACGAAGUCCUUGCUUUUUUACUUCCAAUCUUACCUUAUUCUUUAAAUGGCAUUUUACCAUCAUUGCCUUUAUAAAUUAUUUUCAAAAUUUAAACUCAUAACAUUCUAAUUGUAAAAGAACAAUAAGGCGAUGUAAUUGACAAGUAAUAAAUUUGGGUGUGGACUAGAGGCUUUUUCAAAGAAGCUUUUUUGUGAAGAAUGUUGUUUGUCAAACUAAUACAGCUUGGCAAGCUUGGAUUUAUGCUUAGCUAUGGGCCAUACAUGCCCCCCAAUUCAUUCAAUGCUCAAACAACCCCAAG